UGCCCAACAGCUAGUCCAUCCACCAACCCUAAGUAUUCUCCAUAUAUAAACCCAAACAUAUUACCCCUAAACAAUAAAACAUUUUUCUUCCUAAGUACGGGAGACGGAAAAGGACCUAGGAACCAUAGAAAAAGUACCGCAAGGGAAAGCUGAAAAAGAAAUGAAACAACCCAGUAAAGCACUGAAAAGCAGAGCCUCCCCCUCGUACCUUUUGCAUCAUGUUUUAGCCAGAAUAUCUUAAGCAAAAAGCACUAUAGUUUAACACCCCGAAACUAGACGAGCUACUCCAAGACAGUCUAAUAUGUAGGACCACCCCGUCUCUGUAGCAAAAGAGUGGGAAGAGCUUUGAGUAGAGGUGAUAAACCUACCGAGCCUAGUUAUAGCUGGUUACCUGAAAAUUGAAUAGAAGUUCAGCCUUUUAAAUUCUCCCCCCGCCCCUGGCCGCAUGCCUCCCACCGAAAAAAGAAAUUAAAAGAGUUAAUCAAAGGGGGUACAGCCCCUUUGAACAAGACACAACUUUUCAAGAUGGGUAAGAAUCAUAAUAAAUUAAAGGCUAAUGACUUAGUGGGCCUGAAAGCAGCCAUCUGCCUAGAAAGCGUUAAAGCUCGAGCUUUACCUACAAACCUUUUAAUAAAGACAAUAUAUUCCACCCCCCUAAACAUAUCAGGUUGUUCCAUACAUAUGGAAGCACUUAUGCUAAUAUGAGUAAUAAGAGAGCCCCCCUCUCUCCCCGCACAAGUGUAAAUCGAAACGAACUACUCAUCGACCAUUAACGAUCCCAAAACAAAGAGGGAACUAGAUAAAAAAUAAACAACCAGAAAAGCAUCUAAUACACUAUCGUUAGCCCCACACUGGCGUGCCAAUUAGGAAAGACUAAAAGAAAAAGAAGGAACUCGGCAAACACAAGCCUCGCCUGUUUACCAAAAACACCGCCUUUUGUCCCCAAAAAAUAAAAGGUCCCGCCUGCCCUGUGACUAUAA
rnacentral:rRNA from 1 species